GAUCAACGCUGGCGGCGUGCCUAACACAUGCAAGUCGAACGAGAAAGGGGCUUCGGCUCCGAGUAAAGUGGCGGACGGGUGAGUAACACGUGGGUGAUCUGCCCUCCAGUGGGGGAUAACAUACCGAAAGGUGUGCUAAUACCGCAUGGAGUUCCGGUUGUCGCGAUCGGAAUGAAAGCAGCAAUGCGCUGGAGGAGGAGCCCGCGUUGGAUUAGCUAGUUGGUGGGGUAACGGCCCACCAAGGCUACGAUCCGUAGCCGGCCUGAGAGGGUGACCGGCCACACUGGAACUGAGACACGGUCCAGACUCCUACGGGAGGCAGCAGUGGGGAAUUUUGCGCAAUGGGGGAAACCCUGACGCAGCAACGCCGCGUGGACGAUGAAGGCCUUUGGGUCGUAAAGUCCUGUCAGCAGGGAAAAACACAAUGAUGGUACCUGCAGAGGAAGCUCCGGCUAACUUCGUGCCAGCCGCCGCUGUAACAC
rnacentral:rRNA from 1 species